ensembl:lncRNA
CUGCUGCCCUGCAGCUGUGGGAAUGCUCUGUGCAGCUCAGCAACCAGCAGUGUCUAACCAAGAGCUGGGAGAUGGAAAGGGAAGUUAGAAAAUGUUCUCGAUAUUUGGUUUCCAAGUCCAGAGUCCCUCACUGGAGUCUGCUGGUGUUUGGCCAUGGAUGUUUCACGGGAUCACAAUUUUCUCCCUCCCAGGCAGAAAUCACUCAGCCAGAUAAAACAAGCAAAAGAUACCGGUUGUGCUGAUUCACAAGGAAACAAUUUCCCUUCUAUUUCAGCAGCUUACCAGCAGGAAACUGUAGGGCAGUUUGCCAUGACCAUAGAAAAUGGGACAUGUUGCACGUUAUCCAAGACUUCCUGGGUGCCCAUUAAGUCCUUCAUGGCCUGAAGUCUGAACUGGUGAACAGCCCGUAUCCAAAGAGAGGUGACAAUUUCACUGCAUGCACUGAGCAUCCUACCUGCUUUAUUCCACCCUCUUACAAUGAGAGGAUGAAGCUUGUGAACCAUGAGGGCUGCUACAAAAGAAAUGCCUCCUAUGUUAUGUCGGCUCACCAGGUCAGAGGUGGACAUUGGUGAGGUGGCAGCAAAAGCUGAACCUUUCCACCGAUAUUCCAUCACAUUUUGUUGCUGUGUGACUGAUGGCAGCAGAGGGAUGGUCUGACAAAACGGCAUUUGACAUAGAAGUACGUAUGGAGCAAAGGAAUGGCACUGAAUUUUUCUGUGCAGAAAAUGCAGCACCCAUUGCCAUUCAUCUUGCUGAGCAUUUAUGGAGACCAAACAGUGGGUGUGAGCACAGUGAGGAG